CCCUAGUUCCUUCGUUUCGACCCAGCACCUCCAUAUCCGUCGAACCCUAAAUCUCUCGUGAUUUCUCUCCCGACCCAGCAAGAACCCUAAAAUUUUGCUUUCAACAACUCUGAUUCCCUCACUCCCUUCUACGUCUUUUUGUGUGUAUUUUAGGUGCUUAGAAGAAAGACAUACCUGGAAAGGCUCUGGGAAAUUCUUGUUGCUUUACAAGAGCUUAAGGUUCCAUCUUUCUUAUGCUUCUCGGCUGCAGACAUCGUUUUCUUUUGUUGAUUAAACAAAAAGGUAUUGAGCAUUUUGAAGCAACAUCACCAAACUUUUGUCCUGAAGUUUAUUUCUUAUUAGUGCAUUAAAAUUCACCAAUAUGUGAUAAUGUUAUGAGUUAGAGCAUUAAAUCUGAUUUGUAUAUUGAGGGAAUUGGAGAUGGUGUUAAACUAUGCUUCUUUGGCAACUAUUUGGUUAGUUUUCUGCAAUGUGGUCCAUUGUUUCUAGCUAUGCUAAGUAAAGGCCUAACUAAUACAAGGUGUUGGUGGUUUUUUUCAUCUUUGUUUUCUUUUGUUCAAAUGUGAAAAUGUUGGUCAUUCGUAUAAGCUAUAGGUCACCCUGUUUUGUAAAUGCCAAUGUUGUCAGACAAAGGUAAUUAAGCUAUCACUAAGAACAUUGUUUUAUUUGAGAUUAGAAUUAAUUAAUGUCAAAACAUUGAAACUUAAACUAUUUAAAUUUUGCAGGUAUUGCAGAGUGUUGUUUUUCAGACAGGUCAGUGUUGUCAUCUAAAUGGUAUGUUAUUAGUGCCUGGUUUGCAUCCAUUAUUGAGCAACUGUUUCACAUGCAUCCAUUAUUAAGUAUGCUAAGGAAAUCCUUCAAUAGGAGAUGUUUCCACAUGUUGGUAUUGGAGAGUAUUGUGAGAUAAAAAAUGCGUACUAUUUUGGGUAAGUUUGUUACAAGGCUGAUCUUGUUAUCUUCAUUUUGAGUAUCUAUUAUGCUUAUCAUUGCCCCACAGAUAUAUCAUUCACCGGGCUACUACCGUGUGCACUUGGGCGGAGGGCUGAAGAUACGGAAACAAGAGGCUGGACCUGGCAGGCCCUUUGCUUGGUGGUCUCUUUAGAGGGGUUUGUUUCUCAAAUAAUUGAUAUGAUUUUACUUUCUUGGUCUUGUUAUUUCUUAAUUUCUGGUUCUUAAUUUCUUGGUCUUGCAAUGCAUUGGACAAUAUACCUAUACUACUACAAGAAUCAAAUUGCAGCAUGCAGGUAAAGAAGCUCUACACCCAAAGGGAAGAUUAAAUCAAAUAGUAUAUAAAGAUCUAAAGGGAGAGUGACAUAGUUAAAUUGGAAGAGAUUGUCCACGUUGCACUCAUGUUUAGACAUUUUAGGUGACUGUUGAUUUUUUUGAUUUUUUGUGGAAUUGAAUUUGCCACUAAACAUUAGUAGUAAGGCACCACAGGAAAUUUUAUGAAUCUUGUGACAUUAGUACUAAGGUUUUUUUCUUGUACCAAAGAUCAGCUAUUUGAAACCAGUGAUGUCAUACAUACAUGCUUAUAAGCAAAGGAUCGAUUAAGUUUGUCA